GCCUCUAUAGCUGAAUUGGUUAAAGCAACAGUCUCUUAAACUGUGGACUCAAGGUUCAAGCCCUUGUGGAGGCA
rnacentral:tRNA from 1 species